UACGGGGGGAGCAAGCGUUGUUCGGAUUUACUGGGCGUAAAGGGCGCGUAGGCGGCCUCUGCAAGUCGACUGUGAAAUCUCCGGGCUUAACCCGGAACGGUCAGCCGAUACUGCAGGGCUAGAGUGCAGAAGGGGCAACUGGAAUUCUCGGUGUAGCGGUGAAAUGCGUAGAUAUCGAGAGGAACACCUGCGGCGAAGGCGGGUUGCUGGGCUGACACUGACGCUGAUGCGCGAAAGCUAGGGGAGCGAACGGG
rnacentral:rRNA from 1 species